rnacentral:rRNA from 1 species
UAGGGAAUCUUCGGCAAUGGACGGAAGUCUGACCGAGCAACGCCGCGUGAGUGAAGAAGGUUUUCGGAUCGUAAAGCUCUGUUGUAAGAGAAGAACGAGUGUGAGAGUGGAAAGUUCACACUGUGACGGUAUCUUACCAGAAAGGGACGGCUAACUACGUGCCAGCAGCCGCGGUAAUACGUAGGUCCCGAGCGUUGUCCGGAUUUAUUGGGCGUAAAGCGAGCGCAGGCGGUUAGAUAAGUCUGAAGUUAAAGGCUGUGGCUUAACCAUAGUACGCUUUGGAAACUGUUUAACUUGAGUGCAAGAGGGGAGAGUGGAAUUCCAUGUGUAGCGGUGAAAUGCGUAGAUAUAUGGAGGAACACCGGUGGCGAAAGCGGCUCUCUGGCUUGUAACUGACGCUGAGGCUCGAAAGCGUGGGGAGCAAACAGGAUUAGAUACCCUGGUAGUCCACGCCGUAACGAUGAGUGCUAGGUGUUAGACCCUUUCCGGGGUUUAGUGCCGCAGCUAACGCAUUAAGCACUCCGCCUGGGGAGUACGACCGCAAGGUU